AAUCCAUGUAUCAGACACUUUCGAAUUAAGUCUUUCAAUCGUUCCCAAGCUUCAUAUAGUGUUUCAUCCUCUGACUAACGAAAAGAUGUGAUGCCAUUUCUAAGCUU
rfam:Gossypium hirsutum cultivar TM-1 chromosome 1, whole genome shotgun sequence